rfam:Clostridium sp. DMHC 10 contig_16, whole genome shotgun sequence.
UAACUGGUGAAAGUCCAGUCAAGGUAAUUGCCAAGAAGUCUUGUAACAAACCACCAAGCGUAGUAGAAAUACUGGGUUUGAAGCGUGGGUAAAGUCAACUGAAAAGUUGGCUUUUCUUUGUGAUAAUACAGGUCGUAACAUUA